CCUACGGGAGGCAGCAGUGGGGAAUAUUGCACAAUGGGGGAAACCCUGAUGCAGCGACGCCGCGUGAGUGAAGAUGUAAUUCGUUAUGUAAAGCUCUAUCAGCAGGGAAGAAAAUGACGGUACCUGAGUAAGAAGCCCCGGCUAACUACGUGCCAGCAGCCGCGGUAAUACGUAGGGGGCAAGCGUUAUCCGGAUUUACUGGGUGUAACGGGAGCGUAGACGGCAGUGCAAGUCUGGAGUGAAAGGCGGGGGCUCAACCCCCGGACUGCUCUGGAAACUGUACGGCUGGAGUGCAGGAGAGGUAAGUGGAAUUCCUAGUGUAGCGGUGAAAUGCGUAGAUAUUAGGAGGAACACCAGUGGCGAAGGCGGCUUACUGGACUGUAACUGACGUUGAGGCUCGAAAGCGUGGGGAGCAAACAGGAUUAGAUACCCCAGUAGUC
rnacentral:rRNA from 1 species